AUUGAACGCUGGCGGCAGGCUUAACACAUGCAAGUCGAGCGGGGAAAGGUAGCUUACUACCUGACCUAGCGGCGGACGGGUGAGUAAUGCUUAGGAAUCUGCCUAUUAGUGGGGGACAACAUCUCGAAAGGGAUGCUAAUACCGCAUACGUCCUACGGGAGAAAGCAGGGGACCUUCGGGCCUUGCGCUAAUAGAUGAGCCUAAGUCGGAUUAGCUAGUUGGUGGGGUAAAGGCCUACCAAGGCGACGAUCUGUAGCGGGUCUGAGAGGAUGAUCCGCCACACUGGGACUGAGACACGGCCCAGACUCCUACGGGAGGCAGCAGUGGGGAAUAUUGGACAAUGGGGGGAACCCUGAUCCAGCCAUGCCGCGUGUGUGAAGAAGGCCUUUUGGUUGUAAAGCACUUUAAGCGAGGAGGAGGCUACCGAGAUUAAUACUCUUGGAUAGUGGACGUUACUCGCAGAAUAAGCACCGGCUAACUCUGUG
rnacentral:rRNA from 1 species